AUUGAACGCUGGCGGCAGGCCUAACACAUGCAAGUCGAGCGAGUGGCGGACGGGUGAGUAAUGUCUGGGGAACUGCCCGAUGGAGGGGGAUAACUACUGGAAACGGUAGCUAAUACCGCAUACCAUCGGAUGUACCCAUAUGGGAUUAGCUAGUAGGUGGGGUAAAGGCUCACCUAGGCGACGAUCCCUAGCUGGUCUGAGAGGAUGAAUAGCCACACUGGAACUGAGACACGGUCCAGACUCCUACGGGAGGCAGCAGUGGGGAAUAUUGCACAAUGGGCGCAAGCCUGAUGCAGCCAUGCCGAGUGGAUGAAGAAGGCCUUAGGGUUGUAAAGUACUUGCAGCGGGGAGGCGUUACCCGCAGAAGAAGCACCGGCUAACUCCGUGCCAGCAGCCGCGGUAAUAC
rnacentral:rRNA from 1 species